UCACUGGCGAAACAGGGAUUAAGAGUGGCACUGCUUUCACAGGGUUGCCCUCAGGAUUAAGGGAUAGAAGUCGCGUAAAGUCCCCGGGAUCAGGCAGUGCCGUCACUGACUAUAGUCCCCCUACCUCCCGUGGCCCUGCACUGGGCACUCUCUAAACCUCAGCUGACUAGUAUGUAAAACAGGAAUGACCAUAAUGAUAGCGAGUAAAUGAGAAAGCAGAACUGCGUUCUAAUCCGCGGUUUGCGUCCACGGGCGUCUGCGGGGCUGCGACGUGAUUCAGACUCACCGAGCCGGGGCGGGGAUUCCGGGGCCCGCCCGCCGACCCACCGAAACCCUCCGCGGGGCAGAGCGGGGAGGACCACCUCCGGCAGGAGGGAUUCGGCCCCACCCCCGACCCCCACCCCCUACCUUUUCCCUUCAGGAGAGUCUGUCGUGGGUUCAUCUGAGAGGCUUGUGGUAGGCCCUGUGGCUCUAAAGAUGAGUAACUCACGGCUCCUGGACCCAAGAAACUCAUGAACUAGUGAAGACAACAUGAUCCAGACUGAGAAAGGCGUCCGGAUGUUUGGGCUUUUCCUGCUGAGGUCAAAGAUACAACACAAACCUCGGACAUCGUACCUGCUCCUGACCUGCCUCCAGAGCCUCCUCUCUCCUCCGUCGAGACUCUUGACACACCCGCUAGUGGGCUCCCAUGAAACACCGGGACUUCCCUGCCUCUGCACCUUUGAGUAUGCCCUUCACCCUUCGCCAUCAGGUAAACUCCUAUUCACCCUCAAAUGGCCAGUUCAGAGGUUAUCUUCUGUGGGAGGCUGAACAAGAGGACCCCCAAAGAUACA